rnacentral:rRNA from 1 species
GUGCCAGCAGCCGCGGUAAUACAGAGACUGCAAGCGUUAUUCGGAUUCACUGGGCGUAAAGGGUGCGCAGGCGGCCAAGUGUGUGAGGCGUGAAAGCCCGAUGCUCAACAUCGGAAUUGCACCUCAAACUACAUGGCUAGAGCAUUGGAGAGGGUAGCGGAAUUCACGGUGUAGCAGUGAAAUGCGUAGAUAUCGUGAGGAACACCAGAGGCGAAGGCGGCUACCUGGACAAUUGCUGACGCUCAGGCACGAAAGCGUGGGGAGCAAAAGGGAUUAGAAACCCCCGUAGUCC